AUGGGAUCGCUCCGCGUCGAUUAUUGGUGUGGUGUGGCUCGGCUCGCAACGAUCCUUUCCUGGUUUGGAUGCGACCACCCACACUGGGACUGGAUGAGACCAGACUCCUACGGGAGGCAGCAGUGGGAAUGUGGACUAGUGGGCGCAGCUGAUCAGCCAUGCCGCGUGAGUGAUGACGUCUUAGGGUAGUAAAGCCUUUUGCCGGGGAUGAUAUGACGGUACCCGGAGAAUAGUCCCGGCUAACUUCGUGCCAGCAGCGCGGUAAUACGAAGGGGACUAGUGUUGUUCGUAAUCACUGGGCGUAAAGCGCACGUAGGCGGAUUUAUAAGUCAGGGGUGAAAUCCCGGGGCUCAACCUCAGAAACUGCCUUUGAUACUGCGAAUCUUGAGUCCGAGAGAGGUGGGUGGAAUUCCUAGUUGUAGAGGUGAAAUUCGUAGAUAUUAGGAAGACCACCGGUGGAGAAGGCGGCCCACUGGAUCGGUACUGACGAUGAGGUGCGAAAGCGUGAGGAGCAAACAGGAUUAGAUACCCUGGUAGUCCACGCCGUAAACGAUGGAUGCUAGCCGUCGGAUAGCUUGCUAUUCGGUGCCGCAGCUAACGCAUUAAGCAUCCCGCCUGGGGAGUACGGCCGCAAGGUUAAAACUCAAAGGAAUUGAGGGGGCCCCCCACAAGCGGUGCAGCAUGUGGUUUAAUUCGACGCAACCCGAACAACCUUACCCCCUCUCAACAUUCUCUGAUCCCCCGGAGAGAUUUCGGAAUUCCAGCAAUGGACAGUGGGACAGGUGCUGCAUGGCUGUUGUCAGCUCGUGUCGUGAGAUGUUGGGUUAAGUCCCGCAACGAGCGCAACCCUUGCCAUUAGUUGCCAUCAUUCAGUUGGCCACUUUAGUGGAACUGCCGGUGAUAAGCCGGAGGAAGGUGGGGAUGACGUCAAGUCAUCAUGGCCCUUACGGGCUGGGCUACACACGUGCUACAAUGGCGGUGACAAUGGGCAGCCACGUAGCAAUAGGGAGCUAAUCGCAAAAAGCCGUCUCAGUUCGGAUUGCGGUCUGCAACUCGACCU
rnacentral:rRNA from 1 species